AAUUUUUAUGAAAGCCUUUCAUUUAAGAAUGAUUCUCUUUGAUUACCUUUUGGAUAUGGAUGCCAAAAAAAGGAAGCAAUUUUUUUUUCUUCUCCUGGGCAAACAAUUAUAUCUUAAAAUUAAUACAAUUACUAUGCUUAAAGGUGCUUGUUACGUUUAAGUAUUAGUUAUUUGUUUGCUACACAAGUUGGUGCAUUUUUUCAAGUUUAGGUUUGUGGCAAGUUCCUUGUUUCUCCUCUCUCCACCCAUCUUUGUAUAAUGUCAUUUCUAAUUCUAUGUUUCACAAGCAUUGCAUUUAUAUUGUGGUUAUGAACACCAUAAUUGUGUUAUUUUGACUACUUGUUCCAAUUCUGAAUUUAAUUAUCUUGUCUUUUUUUGCAUUUUACUGCAGCUUGAUGAGUGGUGGGAGCAACCAGCAUCUACAGUUGUUGACUGGGCUACUGUUGAUGGGCAAAAUGUUGCUGCUUGGCAUAAUCAUGUU
rnacentral:misc_RNA from 1 species